GGGCCCGCACAAGCGGAGGAACAUGUGGUUUAAUUCGAUGAUACGCGAGGAACCUUACCCGGGCUCGAACGGUACAGGGAUACGACAGAGAUGUUGUAGCUAGCAAUAGUCUGUAUCGAGGUGCUGCAUGGUUGUCGUCAGCUCGUGCCGUGAGGUGUAGGCUUAAGUGCCAUAACGAGCGCAACCCUUGUUGUUAGUUACCAUCAGGUAAAGCUGGGGACUCUAGCGAGACUGCCACCGUAAGGUGCGAGGAAGGGGGGGAUGACGUCAAAUCAGCACGGCCCUUACGUCCGGGGCGACACACGUGUUACAAUGGUGGAUACAGAGGGGCGCUACCCAGUGAUGGGAUGCGAAUCUCUAAAGUCCAUCUCAGUUCGGAUUGGAGUCUGCAACUCGACUCCAUGAAGUUGGAUUCGCUAGUAAUCGCGCAUCAGCCAUGGCGCGGUGAAUACGUUCCCGGGCCUU
rnacentral:rRNA from 1 species